UACGUAGGGUCCGAGCGUUGUCCGGAGUUACUGGGCGUAAAGGGCGCGCAGGCGGCGGUGCUGGCCCGGCGUGAAAGCCCCCGGCUCAACCGGGGAGGGUCGUCGGGGACCGCACCGCUUGAGGGCGGUAGGGGCCGGUGGAAUGCCUGGUGUAGUGGUGAAAUGCGUAGAGAUCAGGCAGAACACCUGGGGCGAAGGCGGCCGGCUGGGCCGACCCUGACGCUGAGGCGCGAAGGCGUGGGGAGCGAACAGG
rnacentral:rRNA from 1 species